rnacentral:rRNA from 1 species
UACGUAGGGUGCAAGCGUUAAUCGGAAUUACUGGGCGUAAAGCGUGCGCAGGCGGUUUUGUAAGUCUGACGUGAAAUCCCCGGGCUCAACCUGGGAAUUGCGUUGGAGACUGCAAGGCUGGAGUCUGGCAGAGGGGGGUAGAAUUCCACGUGUAGCAGUGAAAUGCGUAGAGAUGUGGAGGAACACCGAUGGCGAAGGCAGCCCCCUGGGUCAAGACUGACGCUCAUGUACGAAAGCGUGGGGAGCAAACAGG